rnacentral:rRNA from 1 species
UCCCAGACUCCUACGGGAGGCAGCAGUGGGGGAUAUUGCACAAUGGGGGGAACCCUGAUGCAGCGACGCCGCGUGGGUGAAGGAGUAUUUCGGUAUGUAAAGCCCUAUCGGCAGGGAAGAAAUUGGACGGUACCUGACUAAGAAGCCCCGGCUAACUACGUGCCAGCAGCCGCGGGAAUACGUAGGGGGCAAGCGUUAUCCGGAUUUACUGGGUGUAAAGGGAGCGUAGACGGCUGUGCAAGCCAGAUGUGAAAGCCCGGGGCUCAACCCCGGGACUGCAUUUGGAACUGCGUGGCUUGAGUGUCGGAGAGGCAGGCUGAAUUCCUAGUGUAGCGGUGAAAUGCGUAGAUAUUAGGAGGAGCACCAGUGGCGAAGGCGGCCUGCUGGACGAUGACUGACGUUGAGGCUCGAAAGCGUGGGGAUCAAACAGGAUUAGAUACCCUCGUAU